CGGGCGCAUAGCUCAGUUGGUCAGAGCCACCGGCUCAUAACCGGUCGGUCGUAGGUUCGAAUCCUACUGCGCCC
rnacentral:tRNA from 1 species